AACGAACGCUGGCGGCAUGCCUAACACAUGCAAGUCGAACGAGACCUUCGGGUCUAGUGGCGCACGGGUGCGUAACGCGUGGGAACCUGCCUUUAGGUUCGGAAUAACUCAGAGAAAUUUGAGCUAAUACCGGAUGAUGUCUUCGGACCAAAGAUUUAUCGCCUUUAGAUGGGCCUGCGUUGGAUUAGCUAGUUGGUGGGGUAAAGGCCUACCAAGGCGACGAUCCAUAGCUGGUUUGAGAGGAUGAUCAGCCACACUGGGACUGAGACACGGCCCAGACUCCUACGGGAGGCAGCAGUGGGUAAUAUUGGACAAUGGGGGAAAGCAUGAUCCAGCAAUGCCGCGUGAGUGAUGAAGGCCGUAGGGUUGUAAAGCUCUUUUACCCGAGAUGAUAAUGACAGUAUCGGGAGAAUAAGCACCGGCUAACUCCGUG
rnacentral:rRNA from 1 species